GUGCUCACUUCAGAAGCACAUAUACUAAAAUUGGAAUGAUACAGAAAAAAUGCAUGGUCCCUGCGCAAGGAUGA
rnacentral:snRNA from 1 species